UACAGAGGCCUCGAGCGUUGUUCGGAAUUACUGGGCGUAAAGCGAAUGUAGGUGGUGACGUAAGUCAGGUGUGAAAGCCCGGGGCUUAACCCCGGAAAUGCAUUUGAUACUGCGUCGCUAGAGUGUGAGAGAGGAAAGGGGAAUUCCCAGUGUAGGAGUGAAAUCCGUAGAUAUUGGGAGGAAUACCGAUGGCGAAGGCACCUUUCUGGCUCAUCACUGACACUGAGAUUCAAAAGCGUGGGGAGCAAACAGG
rnacentral:rRNA from 1 species